UACGGAGGGGGCUAGCGUUGUUCGGAAUUACUGGGCGUAAAGAGCUCGUAGGUGGUUUGUCGCGUUGUUCGUGAAAACUCACAGCUCAACUGUGGGCGUGCGGGCGAUACGGGGCAGACUAGAGUACUGCAGGGGAGACUGGAAUUCCUGGUGUAGCGGUGGAAUGCGCAGAUAUCAGGAGGAACACCGGUGGCGAAGGCGGGUCUCUGGGCAGUAACUGACGCUGAGGAGCGAAAGCGUGGGGAGCGAACAGG
rnacentral:rRNA from 1 species